GGGAUAUGGCUCAGUGGUAGAGCAUUCGCUUGGCACGCGUGAGUCCCUACGUUCAAUCUCUAGCCUGAUUCCG
rnacentral:tRNA from 1 species